rnacentral:rRNA from 1 species
GGAAGGAUCAUUAUUGAAUUAUAUUUUCUAGAUGGGUUGUAGCUGGCUCUUUGGAGCAUGUGCACGCCUGUCUGGACUUCAUUUUCAUCCACCUGUGCACCUUUUGUAGUCUUUGUCGGGUAUAGGGGGGGGGAAGUGGUCAGUUUCACUGGCCAUGAAAUCCUUUUCCGCCUGUCAGAGUCUAUGUUAUUCAUUACACUCUAUAGAAUGUCAUUGAAUGUCUUUACAUGGGCUUCUAUGCCUAUGAAAAUCAUUAUACAACUUUCAGCAACGGAUCUCUUGGCUCUCGCAUCGAUGAAGAACGCAGCGAAAUGCGAUAAGUAAUGUGAAUUGCAGAAUUCAGUGAAUCAUCGAAUCUUUGAACGCAUCUUGCGCUCCUUGGUAUUCCGAGGAGCAUGCCUGUUUGAGUGUCAUUAUAUUCUCAACUCUCUAAUACUUUGUUGUAGGAGAGAGCUUGGAUUGUGGGGGUUUGCUGGCCACUUUCAUCGAGUCAGCUCCUCUGAAAUGCAUUAGCGGAACCGUCUGCGAUCUGCCACAAGUGUGAUAAAUUAUCUACACUGGCGAGGGGAUUGCUUUCUGUGUUGUUCAGCUUCUAAUCGUCUUAGGACAAAUUUUUGAAUGCUUGACCUCAAAUCAGGUAGGACUACCCGCUGAACUUAA